rnacentral:rRNA from 1 species
CCUACGGGAGGCUGCAGUGAGGAAUAUUGGUCAAUGGGCGAGAGCCUGAACCAGCCAAGUCGCGUGAGGGAAGACGGUCCUAUGGAUUGUAAACCUCUUUUGCCGGGGAGCAAAAAGCGGUACGUGUACCGCAUCGAGAGUACCCGGAGAAAAAGCAUCGGCUAACUCCGUGCCAGCAGCCGCGGUCAUACGGGGGAUGCGAACGUUAUCCGGAUUUAUUGGGUUUAAAGGGUGCGCAGGGGGCGAGUUAAGUCAGCGGUAAAAUUUCGGGGCUCAACCCCGACAAGCCGGUGAAACUAGGUUGCUAGGGUGGGCGAGAAGUAUUCGGAAUGCGGGGUGGAGCGGUGGAAUGCAUAG